AGUGGAUGGUCCUCGAAUACAAGUGAGAUGAAUGCAGUGCAGUUUAUUCUUCGUUUGCAAUUUACUAAAACGUUCAUAUCUGAUUUCUCAGAGGCAAAGAAGAGGAUAUAGAGUCCAUUAAAUCGGAAUGAAGUAACUUGAAAUCAUCACCACUGAGGUCUGAGGACAUCAGUGUUCGCUUAGUUUGGACUGUCCUGCUUCAACACUGAUUGGGUCAAUCCCUUUUGAAUGUAUUGGCUGUGAAAACUAGGGGGUGGAGACUACGAGAGCGGCGUUUCGAACGGGAUUUACGCCGAGAUUUACGUGACGUAUUGUGGCUAGAAAGGCUUGCCAUAAACACAUGGCGUGUGCUGCCAAAGUGAGUUCACGCAGUUAUGAACGUAACGUUCCUUCGUGGAACAGUAGAUUUGACCUUUAACCUUUAUGGAUUUAUCGCGAGAAAAGACACGAGAUCCCUCACACGGACUGCAGGUGGGCACAUGUCUUCCACGAGGCUCCGCUACAAUAAAGCGUUAAGUUAGAGCGAAGCUUGUCAGGACAAGCGGCCAGCGAGUUAUCACGGCACAAGUUACAAGAACGUCCACGCAAUAAAUAUGAAUAAAUACAGAGUGUCAUCGAACCCUGACGGAGCAGAAGGAAACCAUCAGCCUCAUCUCUAAAGAAAAACAGGACCUGCAAAGUAAUUUAUCAGAUAUCCAGCAGGAGAAGCUUAGAAGCAAAAAUUUACUGAAGAGCAUAGAAAUAUUUAAAAAAGAUUCCAACAGGCCACGUUCAGACAGUGUUGUGGAAGGUCUUCAGAAAGGUUGUCUUCCUGGUUGGGUGUUCUUCAACAGUAAGUGCUACUACGUCUCCACUGAUGAGAAGAAUUGGGAAAACAGUCGGGUCGAAUGUGAGGAGAUGGGAGGACAUCUGCUCAACAUAGAUAAUAAAGACAAGCUGACUCUUCAACCUCUCCUUGUCACAAGCCACUGUCCCUCACUGCCUGAAAACUGCAACAAUAGUCCCAGUCCCCAAGUCCUUAGUGACUACAGACCACGUCUGAGAAGUUCUUACAAAACCCCCAAUAAAAUCCAGCCAUCCCUAAAAACCGCCGCAAUUCUUGUUUCGAAGUGGGGACAGGAAAAUUCAUGA
ensembl:lncRNA